UUGGCGGAGGUAAUGAKUGAUAGGGACAGUUGGGGGCAUUAGUAUUUAGUUGUCAGAGGUGAAAUUCUAGGAUUUACUAAAGACUGACCAAUGCGAAAGCAUUUGCCAAGGAUGUUUUCAUUAAUCAAGAACGAAAGUAGGGGGAUCGAAGACGAUCAGAUACCGUCGUAGUCUCUACCGUAAACUAUGCCGACCAGGGAUCCGGAGAGUUUGCAUGGAUGACUCCCCGGGCACCUUGUGAGAAAUCAUAAGUGUUUGGGUUUUGGGGGGAGUAUGGUCGCAAGGCUGAAACUAAAGAAUGACGAAGCUAAGACUAUUC
rnacentral:rRNA from 1 species